GUAGUUGCUUACAAGUUACCAGCAUAUAUCCGGUCCUAACUCUAGAUACAUUGUCAUCAGUUCGAUCUAUGUGUGAAGAAGGAUUUUUCUGGAUGGGAUCAUUCUUUUGGUGGACUAAGUUUGUAAUGUUAUGUAAAUAUUUCAUUGGGACCACCAGGAGAGGUUAUCGUCAGAGGCAGUGAAACAAUCUGAAGGACACUUGUGGUUAAGCAGCAGGAGCAGCAGGUGAGGAAGAAACUAAAGAAAGACUAGUUAUGUGGUCACCUGGGACUCCAGAGUGUUUUUUGGUGCCAUGCCAUUACUGAUGGUACCUCGGCAGUGCUGGUUGCUGGGCAGGUGUAUGCGACAUGUUGAAUCAUUCUUCCGCAAGAGGCCCUAAAGCUUCAUUUUGAUGAGAAACUGUCUGCACUCUGCAGUUUGGAACCUUGCGGAAGGAUCCUGUGAAUUUUUUGGAUACUAGGCUUCCUUGAUGGCUGCUCUGCUACUGCUAGCUGCAUCCCUGAUGACCUGGUCUGGAUUUGGGUCCUGGUCCUUUGGGUGGACGUGGUUGAUAGGCAGGGGUCAGCAGCAGUUCUAAACAACUUCUUGUUUUUGAAAUGUCAACCGCGGGGCGAUUCCCCCACUUGAAUAUAUGUAUAUUUUCCAAAAGAUGCAGUCCUCAGACCGUGAUCAUACCGCAAAUGUGAAGAGAGGGGUACUGGCAGUUACACAGAGAUUACAAGAUACAGAGAGCAGCUGCAUCAGGUAGUGGGUCCGCUAGAAUGAUCUGACUAACUUGCACUACAUUUCCGCUCAAGGUCAUGUUUAUUCCUACCCAACCUGAUGAUUUGUGCCUAACAACUUUGUACAAGGUUCCAUAUGACGAUGCAACCCAAAUUUGGCUUUUUGAUCGACCAUUCUCAGAUGUACUUCAGCAAGCUGUAGUAGUAGAUGUACUCGUUAUGUUUGUAUUCUCUUGAUGCUACAUUUGAGUCAAUAAAAUCCACCCUUUGUCGAAAAAAAGGCUGUAGUAGUAGAUUAUACCAAUGACAACAGGUGCAGAUGUAAUAUCCCACAAAAAACAUG